AGGAAACCAUCCAAGACACAAUUAGAAGAAAGCAGUUCCGAGUAGUGGUUGGCUGGAAAUAGUGAAAAGGUUUCUACCCCUGAAAGGCCCACAAAACUAUUGAAAGAAGACUUUUGAAGAGAGGCUUGAGCAUGUGCUGAGAGUUUCCUGCACCAAGGCUUCCAUCGAAAAUACACAGGGAUGGACUCAAUGUUUGCUGCAGCUUCCUGGCUGGACAGAUACAGUAUCAGUCAUCGUGGAAGGAUGUUCCAGCCACAGUCACUCCCUGCUCCUGUUUAAUAACCUCUCAAGAUCAAUUUCCUCACAUCAGCAUUUUCAAAAACCAUGUCAAAAAUUCUCCUCGCAAACUCAUGUAUUUGCUUAAAAUUAAUAAAUAUAUGUGUAGAAAAUAAAAA
rnacentral:lncRNA from 1 species